CAUGAGUGAGUAUGACAUAUUUUCAUUUUUGCAUGAAACUAUUAUUUUGAUGUACAGUUUGCUUGUCAUUAACCUUUAAAUCGAGGUUAUCUUUGUUUUCAGACGAUAGACAGCAGGAAGCGUCUGACUCGCUGAACUUUAGAUCCUGGAAAAUCCCCCAAAGUCUGUGAAGCCGAACAUCAGACGCAUCUGAUCUCAUUCCUGUUUACGCCGCUCAGACUGAACAUGAUUUCCAGUUCUGCUUGAACACGUGAGUGCAGAUCUUGGGAAUGACAGAUCUGACAAGAUAACACUUAGAAAGUGGCUUAAAAUAUCCGCGGGCCGUUUGCAGUCGAGCGGUUGUUGAUGUGGGAUAACACUGCAGUGAAGGAGCCUGGGAUUUGACACGAGCUAUUCCUGUCCAUCAGCUCCGGGACACACUGCAACCUAAGACAAGCGGGGAUGCUUAUCUGUAAUGGAGAGUGAGAUAUGGCUGGAGUCCCGCUGAGCACAAACUCACAUUACAGGAGCAAAGCAGCGUGGGAAACCUGGGGUUAAGCGUUGCACAAUGCAUCGUGGGACAUCCAUCUGUUGUGUCAACUCGCCCCAACGGUUUACGGUGGACUCGUGUGGUUUUGGCGGAUCUCACAUCUGGGUAAACAGGAGAGAGAAAGAGACGCUGGUGUGUUUGUUUGCAGAAAAACCUGCUAAUGGAAGACGAACCAUAGAGGCAUUAGUCCAGACACCGACAGCAGGAUAAUAAGAUUAAGAAGAGAGCUAA